UAUAGUUACAAUGUUCCAUUUCAAUACAUAACGACGAGUUAUUUUCACUUCCUCAUUAUUUCUGUUUAAGACCUGGAGCGUAACAAAUACAAAUUUUGUUUCAUACAAUUUGUACAUUUGAGCAGAUUUAAUAUUCAACUGGACAUUUCGUACGAGAUUGAACGUCAAACCGACAUAAUUAUAGAUCUUAUGGUGACUUUCCAACUAUUGAUGGUGAAGGACUACCCAAAGUGCCAGCCAUGUACAUUAUUUCAUCAUAGGCGGGCAACUGGAAAGAACCGGAACACGCCGGAUGACUUUCUCACAUAAAAACACACCAAGUGAGGCUUGAGUUCUCAUCGGUGACGGGUAAGUGAUUUGAAAUUAACGACCUUAAAAUUUGUCUUUCGAAAUGUUUUGACUUGAUUGUCACGCUUUAUUUAUUGAGGUAAAUUAUGCCUAUUACUUUUAUUUGAUGUCACUUUUAUUACUACACAUUUUUCCGCACCUUUAUCUCAUUAUAUACGUUUGAAACGUUUAUUUAAAAGACGCGAUGAUUUAGAUUUUUAGCAAAUAUCUGAUAACAAGUGUUGCUUGAACGUGCAUCAAAUCGGGGAACUCUGAUUAAUAUCUUUAGCUAAAAAUUAAACAAAAGCUGGAUUUUCGGUGCAAAUUCUUUCUAUACGUUGUUCAUUGUGUUACGUUAAUAGACACAGUUCACCUUUUAGUGUUUCGUAACAAGUGCAACGCAUAUUUUGUGAAUUGGAAUCAACUCAGGGAACGGUAUGUAUAGCACAUUAUAUUUAGUGCAAAAUUGCACAGAUCUUUCUCCAACUGGAAUCACAAUGGGGUUUCAACUUUCCUAAGAAAACAAUUCUUUCAUUCUAUGAUUUGGAGUUGUUUGAUUUUUUUUCUCGUAAGGUUAAGCGUUAAACAGUUUUGUAUGAAAUCAAAUAACUAUGGGUGCACAUUUAACACUUUGUUCUAACUAGCUUAGGAUCUUAUGCUAGCUCGAAUAUCGGAAUUCAACUUCAUAGCUUUCCCAAAUUACGAUCCUAAAGAUCCUAAGCUAAUUGAUGGGUCUUUAUUUAGUCUUAUUUGACUGUAUAAGAAUAAAUUAAUUUUUACCAGUGUACUGGAACGGAAAACUUCUUUAUAUAUAUUUUGAAUAAUAAUUGAAAACAUUAUCUUUAUUAUAAAGAAAAUCUGUAUUCAAAGCUUAUUUAAAAAUGAUUUGAUCCGUAUGUUAAGCACAGUGGUCGCAUUGAGGUAUGUCAAACAUUCUGCAUUGAAAUAAUUUCGCACAAUAGUGGCGAUUAAUACAGAUAAAAAAACCUCUUUUGAUAAAAUCGCUUCCUCGGAUACCAUUCCUCGUUUCACAUCAUUGUCGAAACUCAUAAAUGAGGCUCUAAGAUACUAAGAUUGGAAAAGAGAUGUAGAAGUGGAAAACCUAAAUUUAAUUAGCUUGUAAUAUAGAAGUAGAGGUCACGUAACAUGAUUUUACGAUAUUUUUAUUUCGGUGACUUCGUAAGUUUUUUCGUCAAAUCGAUAGCAAAUUAGUCUUUCAUCAUUAUGUUAUUUUUUGGCAAACGCUAUCGUUUGGGUUUUACAUGAGACAAGAUUAAUUGGAACAUUUUAUUCUAAAUGGAACGUCAUAUUUGUCGCUCUGACAUCACUUAAAAGUAAAUAUUGACGUCACCUUUAAAAUGAUAUACACAAACUUAAAGACAUUGCUAUAUGAAAAUACGACGAGUAAUAAGCAAAUCGAUACUUCUUCAUUGAAAAGAACGAUUUACAAUAACAGUCUGACGGACGCGAAAUCCCGGUUCAUUAAAAAUGACGUCAAUAGGCGUUGUUGAAGGCUUGCAGAGAGAGAGGCUACAGAAAUAUCAAAAAUGUAAAGUACGCGUUAAAUUAGGAAUAUAAUGAAUUUUGUUUUAAACAAAAUGUCGAAACGGAACCUCUUGAACAUAGACUGAGGCGCAUUCUAUCUUAAGAAAUAUAAAAUACACACACACACACACACACACACACACACACACACAUGUACCACAUUCUGUGAAAAGAUAGAAUAACCAUUUUCUUAAUAAAAAAAAGAUCAAUCUGCUUUAAAUGUUUUAUUAUGAUUAUAAGUAUGCAUACAUAUGCUUUCUGUAUUUACGAGUAGGUCGUUCCAGUGGAACUGAAUUUGUAAAGUGAAGAAGGGUAAACUUAACUCAAAUUUCGAGAAAUUGGGUCGAAAGAGAAAGCCUUACGAGUAUUUAUUACAAAGACGUUGGACUAUAUAUUGGAUUCGAAACCAGAAAUGGAAAAUUUACAAGAAGCAAAUGACACUAACUGUGAGUUUCGCUAUAAAGUCGGCAGCAUUACUUCUACGUCUAAAAACACGGACGAGGCGUCUCAGCUUGCCCUCAUGAAUGGAAAGCGCAUUAUCGUGAUCGGGUGUGGAAGUUAUAGACUUAGAAACAUAUGGCAGUUUAUGAUCAAUGUAUUUCAUAAACAAAGUCGUUAAAUGAAAUAAAACUGGAUAAUGUCAACCAAGCACAUUUUCGUACAAUCAAAAUGUUGUUAUUUUCCAACCAGGUAGUAAUUUACAAAUAUAGCAUGCAAAGAAACAAGCCUCCUAUAAAACCUGUCAGUUGAUCAAAACAGAAUUAAAACAUACUUUCGAACUACAUCAUCGUUCAUUUCAAAUGUCAAGAAAAAAGUAUUUACCCAACCUUAAAAUAAAUAAUUAAGUAGAAGAAAACAAUUUUACAAAAUUGUGCUUUUUUAUUAAGAUAAGGAUUUUACGCAUAGCAGAUAAGCAAUUUUAAACAAAUUGAAGACGACCUUAUGCUAACAAACACAUUUACCGUUGCAUUUAGUUAUUGCGGUCAUCUGAUUCUGUGCUGAAGCUACUACAUUGCGAACAAACUUCCGAUCGUAGUCUCGCCCGAAGAGGAGACCCAAGAUUUAAGAAGUUCAAAAGCACAGAAUGCAAUAGGAAUGAUCAUAUUUUAACUCAAACUAUUUUUUACGAUAAUUACCUUAUUUACGUUAAUAAAGUGUCAGAUCUUUAAAUUUGCAUAAGUAUUCAGUAUACUCAUAUGAAUUGAAUGUCAAACCGACAAAAUCAUAGGUCAUAUCAUAGAGAUAUUAGAUUUGUAUUGAGAAAUAUGCACGAGUUCUGCAGCGGAAAUAUUGCGCGAGUUUAAGAGCGCGAUAUUAUUCCUCGAAACUGAACGAAUGCAUAUUUCUCGAUGCAAAUCAAAUAAUCUUUUUAUUACAUACACAUAUUACAAUUGUAAUUAUUAUAUAAAUGGUACAAAUUUGUUCUUAAGCUUGUGUAAAACUGAAAAUAUCGUCGCUAAAGAACUUUUGAACGUGACGACAUGCAUUGAACUGACGUCACAAAUGACGUCACGCACCCGAUAUUAAACUGGAACGUCAAAAUGGAAAUAAUAUUCACUUUUCAGGUUCCACUGUAACUUAACGGAAUGUAUAGCCUUGUAUGUAAUAAUAGGUCAUAUGAUGACUUUCCAGCUAUUGAUGGUGGAGGAAGUCCCAGAGUGCCAGUCCUGUACAUUAUUUCAUCACAGGCGAGCAACUGGAAAGAACCGAAGCAAGCCGGAUGACUUUCGCACAUGAAAAAUCAAACGCCCUGCUUGUGGCUUGAGUGCUCAUCGGUGACGGUUCACGAAUAGGUCGUUCCAGCGGGACUGAUUUUGAAUGUCGGAAGAGAAAGUCAUACGAGUAGGAAUAAAUAAGACGUUGGAUUCUAUACUGGAUUCGAAACCAGACAUGGAAAAAUUUGGAGAAGAAAAUGACACUAACCAGGAGUUUUGCUAUGAAGUCGUCAGCAUUGUGGAACAAGGGGAUAAGACUACGUCAGAAAAUGUUGACGAGGUGUCUCAGCGUAACCUGAUGAAUGGAAAAUGCAUUAUAGUGGUUGGAGGUGGAAGUUAUAGACUGAGGAACAUAUGGCAGGAUGCAGCAAAAUAUGGAAUAGAGGUAACAAAAGUUCAGCAUGAUAAAAUGAAUAUAUCGA